AGAGUUUGAUCAUGGCUCAGAUUGAACGCUGGCGGAUUUACACAUGCAAGUCGAACGGUAACGCGGGGGCCCCUGGCGACGAGUGGGAACGGGUGAGUAAUACAUCGGAACGUGCCCAGUAGUGGGGGAUAGCUCGGCGAAAGCCGGAUUAAUACCGCAUACGACCUACGGGUGAAAGCGGGGGAUCGCAAGACCUCGCGCUAUUGGAGCGGCCGAUGCAGAUUANNUUUGGUGAGGAAAAGCUCACCAAGGCGCGAUCUGUAGCUGGUCUGAGAGGACGCCAGCCACACUGGGACUGAGACCGGCCCAGACUCCUACGGGAGGCAGCAGUGGGGAAUUUUGGACAAUGGGCGCAAGCCUGAUCCAGCAAUGCCGCGUGUGUGAUGAAGGCCUUCGGGUGAAAGCACUUUUAGUGGGAACGAACGGUCCGGGCUAAUACCCUGGACUACUGACGGUACCCGCAGAAUAAGCACCGGCUAAUACGUGCCAGCAGCCGCGGUAAUACGUAGGGUGCAAGCGUUAAUCGGAAUUACUGGGCGUAAAGCGUGCGCAGGCGGUUUUGUAAGACCGAUGUGAAAUCCCCGGGCUUAACCUGGGAACUGCAUUGGUGACUGCAAGGCUUGAGUGUGUCAGAGGGAGGUGGAAUUCCGCGUAGCAGUGAAAUGCGUAGAUAUGCGGAGGAACACCGAUGGCGAAGGCAGCCUCCUGGGAUAACACUGACGCUCAUGCACGAAAGCGUGGGGACAAACAGGAUUAGAUACCCUAGUAGUCC
rnacentral:rRNA from 1 species